GACGAACGCUGGCGGCGUGCUUAACACAUGCAAGUCGAACGAAGCUUGAUUACGGAUUCUUCGGAUGAAGUAUGAUAUGACUGAGUGGCGGACGGGUGAGUAACGCGUGAGUAACCUGCCCUUCAGAGGGGGAUAGCGUUUGGAAACGAACGGUAAUACCGCAUAAUGUAUUUUGACCGCAUGAUCGAAAUACCAAAGAUUUAUCGCUGAAGGAUGGACUCGCGUCUGAUUAGGUAGUUGGUGGGGUAACGGCCUACCAAGCCGACGAUCAGUAGCCGGACUGAGAGGUUGAUCGGCCACAUUGGGACUGAGACACGGCCCACACUCCUACGGGAGGCAGCAGUGGGGAAUAUUGCACAAUGGGCGCAAGCCUGAUGCAGCAACGCCGCGUGAAGGAAGACGGUUUUCGGAUUGUAAACUUCUGUUCUUAGUGAAGAAUAAUGACGGUAGCUAAGGAGCAAGCCACGGCUAACUACGUGCCAGCAGCCGCGGUAAUACGUAGGUGGCAAGCGUUGUCCGGAAUUACUGGGUGUAAAGGGAGCGCAGGCGGGUGAUCAAGUCAGCUGUGAAAACUACGGGCUUAACCCGUAGACUGCAGUUGAAACUGUUCAUCUUGAGUGAAGUAGAGGUUGGCGGAAUUCCGAGUGUAGCGGUGAAAUGCGUAGAUAUUCGGAGGAACCCCGGGGGGCGAAGGGCGGGCCAACUGGGCUUUAACUGACGCUGAGGCUCGAAGGUGUGGGGGAGCAAAGAGGAUUAGAUACCCUUGUUAGUCCACACCGUAAACGAUGAUUGCUAUGUGUGGGGGGUCUGACCCUUUCCGGCCGGAGUUAACGCAUAAGCAAUCCCUCGGGGAGUACGACCGCAAGGUUGAAACUCAAAGGAAUUGACGGGGACCCGCACAAGCAGUGGAUUAUGUGGUUUAAUUCGAAGCAACGCGAAGAACCUUACCAGCACUUGACAUCCAACUAACGAAAUAGAGAUAUAUUAGGUGCCCUUCGGGGAAAGUUGAGACAGGUGGUGCAUGGUUGUCGUCAGCUCGUGUCGUGAGAUGUUGGGUUAAGUCCCGCAACGAGCGCAACCCUCGCCAUUAGUUGCUACGCAAGAGCACUCUAAUGGGACCGCUACCGACAAGGUGGAGGAAGGUGGGGACGACGUCAAAUCAUCAUGCCCCUUAUGUGCUGGGCUACACACGUAAUACAAUGGCCAUCAACAGAGAGAAGCAAUACCGCGAGGUGGAGCAAAACUUCAAAAAUGGUCUCAGUUCGGACUGCAGGCUGCAACCCGCCUGCACGAAGUUGGAAUUGCUAGUAAUCGUGGAUCAGCAUGCCACGGUGAAUACGUUCCCGGGUCUUGCACA
rnacentral:rRNA from 1 species